rnacentral:tRNA from 1 species
UAUAGCUCAGUAGUAGGGUGCUUGUUUAACAUGCAUGAAGCUCUGGGUUCAAUCCCCGGUA